rnacentral:tRNA from 1 species
GGGUCCGUAGCUUAGUCCGGUAGAGCGCCCGGCUCAUAACCGGGUGGUCGUCGGUUCAAAUCCGACCGGGCCCA